CCUUACGGCCCAGCCCAGCCGGCCUCCACUGACCGUUGACUGCGUGCCAGAGCCCCCUCCCUCCCUCAGGAAGUUACGGGUCUGGGGGAGAGGCUGGGCUCACGGGUGGACCCCCAGUCCCGCCCCUCCCUGCCCUGCCUCGUGGGAGGCGCCCUGGUGGAAGUCCGCGGACAUUUGGUCAGACCCCCGGGGGCGUGGGGUGUCGGGGCCGGAGGAGGCUUUUCCAGGUAGAGGGGACAGCUCGAACGUCACAACAGCCUAGAGGUGAGAAAACAACCGGAGGAUAAGAAACUAGCACUUUGUACUAGGCCUUGUGCACGUGCUUUCAUGAUGAAUUUUUAAUAUACACAACAACCCUACGAGGCAGGUACUCGUUUCAAUUUAAACAUAAACCCAGAGAGGCUCAAGUUGAUCAGGCCAUUUGCCCAAGUUGCAUAUAGGCCAACAAGUGGUGGAGACAGCACCUAACCGGAAGGUAAGGUGUUGCAGGGAAGAGAGCUCCUUGAGCAACAAGACGGCGGGUGUGGACAGUGGUAUGUUAGCUGCUGGCAUCUGCGCUUCUUCCCGCGCGAGAGUCCCAGCUACUGUCACCACUUUGCAGAGCAGACAAUAAAGGCACAAAGAAGUUCAGUAACUUUAAGAGAUAAGAACAUUUUUGACACAUUUGGAGGGGUGGGGAGGGUAAUGUCCUGCCCCAGAGAAGGGAAGAGAAGGAACUCAAAAAGUAGAACUUCAACCCUAAAAAGACCUCUUUCCUCUAUAAAGGAGCCAAACCCACGAAGGACUGUUCGCCAGGGCCUCCUUGGUAGGUAGGUGUCAACAGAGUCCUCGUCCUGCUGUUAGAUUCACCUGAGGAAGAGUCUCUUAUCCUUGAGGAUCGUCGUCUAAAAGGCCACGGAGGGGAGAAGCCUCCUCUUCAGAAAGCUCUGAAGUAAACCCAAAGGUCCUUGGAUGAGGCAGAUUCUUUCCUAGAUGUCUAGGGCUUAAGGAUCUUGUUAAGCCAGGGCAGCGGAGGCUGAAGCCAAGGGCGGCUGGCACCCUAUUGAGGCGUCAGUGUAGAGAGGACGUGAGAUUGCAGGUUAGAAUGUGCUCAUGUGUUCACAGACUCUAGCUGGGGGUGUAGAGGAAUCUGUUGCAGAAAGUUUUAACUUGGAUGAAUAUUUGAAAAUUUUUCACAAUUAAAUGUUGGGGAGAAUAGUCCUUUUGCUCUUUGCCUUCUAGAGGGUUUUGCUGGGGUGGAUUUCCUGACAUGUGCUCUCUCCCAGGAGCAGCGUUAAGACUAUUAUCACACUGAACACUGGCAUCCUCCACGCCAGGCCUCUUCCCGACCUGCUCACAGUCCAGCUCGGCUCCUCCCUGUGGUUCGCUGUCGUCAUCCCCCACUCCUUUGGGGGCCCUGGAAUGUUGGGUGUCGGAUGUCCCGCGUGGAGGCAAACCCACAGACAGACCCCGACACCUCAGGCUGAGGUGCCGCCUCGGUGGCCUCCGUGUUUUACUUUAUUUUGUGUACUCUCACGACGUGUCUCUGUUCCUGCACCUUUAACUCGGUUGGACCGCUUUGGAGGUUCUGGGCUCUGCUGGGAAAAGCUGAAGAGGCAGAGAGAAAAGCACAGGUCCCUGUUCACCCCACGGCCGCUGCCGUCACCCUAAGAAAGGGACUGGGGGCCCUCAGGUGGUCGGAGUGUUUGGAAUCCUCUGAAUCCGGGGUGAAAGUCUUGCAACAGGAAUAAAACUUUACGUCAGAGCUUCCCGGAGCCCUCCUGAAUCCACCACGCUCAUUUGAAAUCCAGAGCUCAACCAGAUCCUGUCACAUGUCCAGCACAGGGUCUGACAAUCCUGAUGCCAGCCCUUCUCCCCUCCCCUGGCAGGGAGCACCUGGAGACACUGCGGAACCAGGAACCAGAUCGACCGGUGGCUGGAGUGAUCCAUAGUCUAUUGGACACACCAGGCCUGUGAAGUAGAUGGGUUGUUGUUUAGCUGCCAAGUCGUGUAAGGCUCUUUUGCAACCCCACGGACCGUAGCCCACCAGGCUUCUCUGUCCUCGGGAUUUCCCAGGCACGAAUACUGGAGUGGGUUGCCAUUUUCUUCUCCAGAGGAUCGUUUCAACCCAGGGAUCAAACCUGGGUCUCCUGCUUGGCAGGUGAAUUCUUUACCAAUGAGCCACCAGGGAAGCUGAAGUAUAAUUGAU